rnacentral:rRNA from 1 species
CAGCCGCCGCGGGAAUACGAAGGGGGCUAGCGUUGUUCGGAUUUACUGGGCGUAAAGGGUGCGUAGGCGGACUGAUAAGUCAGGGGUGAAAUCCCAAGGCUCAACCUUGGAACUGCCUUUGAUACUGUUAGUCUUGAGUUCGAGAGAGGUGAGUGGAACUGCGAGUGUAGAGGUGAAAUUCGUAGAUAUUCGCAAGAACACCAGUGGCGAAGGCGGCUCACUGGCUCGAAACUGACGCUGAGGCACGAAAGCGUGGGGAGCAAACAGGAUUAGAGACCCCCGUAGUCCCUGUCUCUUAUAU